UACGUAGGGUGCAAGCGUUGUCCGGAAUUAUUGGGCGUAAAGAGCUCGUAGGCGGUUUGUCGCGUCUGCUGUGAAAACUCAGGGCUUAACCCUGAGCCUGCAGUGGGUACGGGCAGACUAGAGUGUGGUAGGGGAGAUCGGAAUCCUGGUGUAGCGGUGGAAUGCGCAGAUAUCAGGAGGAACACCGGUGGCGAAGGCGGAUCUCUGGGCCAUGAACUGACGCUGGAGGAGCGAAAGCAUGGGGAGCGAACAGGA
rnacentral:rRNA from 1 species